GUGGAAAGAUUGUCUUGUGUCUCAUCCCCUCUUAAACCACUCCCCCACCGUUCCCUUUUCAAGAUAAUUAAGGACCCAAGAGGUCCAGGCUCAUAAAAAGAGGGUUAUGGAAGCAGUGAACCCAUAAUCUCCAAUCUCCAGCCUCAAAGGUCAUCCCUGAAGAGGCCCCAAGAGGGGUUCAGGCCUGCCUUGGUUUUGUCAUCCUACAAGGACUCCUGGGCAGCAGAAGUGAUAACCUCCCUUUCCUUCUCAAUGGCUUCUCCCAUGGAACCACUGUUUCCCCAAGAAGGAAGAAAGAGGGAGUUUUGACCACAUGAGCUUUUUUCAUCCCAGUCAGUCAAAAUAGACAGAGGCCUUGCCUUUGGCUGAACUGAGACACCUCCUGUUUCUCCUCCCCUUGAGCCAGCCCCAGUGUCCCCUUGCUCCAGGCCACCUUCUGUCUCUUAAAUUUCCCUACCUAUAAAGUAGAUUCAAGAUAUACGUAGAGGGCUGUGACAACAGACUUGGAAGGUUUGCUACUGUAUAUACUGCCAUUGAGAAGGGGAUAAUUUUCAAUAUGUAGAAGCUUCAGAAUUAGGGGUCCCUGUUUACCCAGGACCUGGGAGGGAAAUAGAUGUUUUGCCAAAAUACUUCUUCAUUCCUUUAAAAAGUACAUCUUUCCUAUGCAAGAGUGUCUCAUAUGUGCUUAUCCAAGGUGCUUUUAGAUGGUGAGCAGUGUUCAGCUUAGAAGUGGUGUGUGCUCUGUCUGUCUGUCUUUGUCCGUCUGUUGUAUCCAGUGGGUGCCAUAUAAAGCUGAUCAAUGGUGGUGCUUCCUGCCUGCUUCUGUGAGAUGGGCAAAAGAUUCCGCUUAGAAAACCGUGAUUCACCUUGCCUUGGUCAGUCUUUCCUGUGUCCACAAGGCCCUGCUCAUAUUUUUUCCAGGGGGAUAAUUUUCUCUCCACCCCAUAGAAAUGAAUUAGCCUAGUCUGAGGCCCCAGCUGUGUGUGGGAGCUCUCUAGUUCCCAGAUGUUGCUGAUGUUGGAGGUCUCUGAUCUGAUAACAGUCAGACAGUAAAGAAUGUGGGGUGG
rnacentral:lncRNA from 1 species